GCUCCAGACCAUAGAGGAAACAUAGUCGAGGUAAUCCUGCCACCUGGCGACCAGACUUGGCCUCAACGUCAGCUGUUGUUAUGAUUUGGUUUUGGGUGUGCAUAGAGACCAACCUCGAGACUAAAACAGGAAUGGAUGGCCUGGCAAACUUUGACUAAGCAUUUAUUGGUUGAUUUAUGUUCUCAUUAACUAAGAGGCAAUGAUUUAUGCUGAGUUACGUUUGUGGAAGCAAAUUGGUCUUUAAUAUAUGCCCAGGAACUAUUUCUCUAUUUGAAACAAAAGUUCAGCUUUUGGUGGAAAAAAUAGUGUCAUUUUCAGGUUUGAUUCACCACUACGUAUCCAAAAGAUGGUGCUUGGGUCCAAAGGGAUGCCAAAAAACUGAGGUUGUGAUUAUAUCCCAGAGAGAAGUAUAAAUAUCAAGGACUUUGUGCAAUUGCGGCCUCUGGUCAAACUAUGAAGCAAGUGUCACCACGCCUUUACUGAUGACCAGAUGUUAGCACCAAAUAUUUUAUACAUAUUUAUUGCACAGUUUUGUCACUUGCCAUUUCAUGACAGUUUUAGCAAAUAAAUGUUGGACCACUAUA